UUAGGAAGCAGGGCGAUAGCCCCGUUAGAUAAUUAACGUAUCUAAUGGGGAGGAAAGUCCAGGCAGCAGGAAGCAGGGUGCCCCGCGUAAGUGGGGGCGGGCAACCGCCAGUUAGAGCCACAGAGACUAUGUCGGUCCCGAUACUUAAAAUGUAUCGGGAUACGAGUGAAAAGAGGCAAUCCUCCCCGCUGCAACCUCCGAAAGGCACGUUAGUUUGAGCAUGCGAAAAGCAAGCUCUGCUUAUUACCGGCUUCCGGGAGUGCCAAGGUUUGAGGGCAUAGAUGGAUUACCGCCUAAAAACAGAACCUGGCUUACUAGUUUCCUAAAGCA
rnacentral:RNase_P_RNA from 1 species